AAGCUUGAAGAAAAAAAAGUAACAAUAGGAUAUAAUCAACUACAAACAAUUUCACGCUUUUAGAAAGAUAUUAGUUAUCUUACUUGAGUCUAUCAAGUUAGCUUGGACUCGUCCAUCAGGCAUUGACUUAUUAUUCAAGCAACAAAAUAAAAAAAAAUUCUUUUAUUAAUUAUUUUGUCUAUUAUUAUAUGAUUAUUUUUAACUAAUAAUUUAUCAGUCAAUUUAACUUCUUUUAAAUUUCAAAAAUUGUACAUAAAGUUUACCAAACUACUAAAUUCCAAAACAUGCAUACAAAAAUGAUCGCUUUUGUACAAUUUAAUCCAAUUUAAUAUUCCUAAUUACAAUUAUAUUUAAAAAUUCUAAUUUAAAGUAUUACAGUACAAUUCAUUAAUUCAAAAAAUCAUUCAUCAUAAAUAUAAAAAAAUUAACUUAGUGUUAAAAUAAAAUCGUUCUUGAAAUUGGAUCUACAAUCAGCAAUAAAGUCAUUCACUCAUUCACACAUGCAUUAUCUAUCAUAUCUAACUAAUAAAUUCAAUAGUAUUAUAAUUUAAGAUUAAAAUUGUAAUUCACGAUUAUAGACAAUUAAUUUAGCUUUAAAAUUUCAAAAUG